rnacentral:rRNA from 1 species
GACGAACGCUGGCGGCGUGCCUAAUACAUGCAAGUCGAACGCAGUGGGGACGGGUGAGUAACACGUGGGUAACCUCCCAUCAGAGGGGAUAACACUUGGAAACAGGUGCUAAACCGAUACUGAUGGAUGGACCCGCGGUGCAUUAGCUAGUUGGUGAGGUAACGGCUCACCAAGGCCACGAUGCAUAGCCGACCUGGGAGGAUGAGCGGCCACACUGGGACUGAGACACGGCCCAGACUCCGACGGGAGGCAGCAGUGGGUAAUAUUGGACAAUGGGCGAAAGCCUGAUGCAGCAAUGCCGCGUGGAUUAAGAAGGUGUUAGGGUUGUAAAGUACUGUCAGAGGGGAGGCGUUACCCGCAGAAGAAGCACCGGCUAACUCCGUGCCAGCAGCCGCGGUAAUUC